rnacentral:lncRNA from 1 species
UGGUAUUGCUCGUGUAGCUUGUUGCAUCAGGCGCAUAUGCGAUGGCAGUGUUGUGAGAGAUGAAUCGAGAGAAUCACACAUACCUGUACUUGUGAAAGAUCAUCUCUUUACAUUUGGAGGUUCUUUGAUCCUAAAUGAAGGCAAUGAACCUGAAGUAGAUGCAACAUUCAGCGAGCUUAUGUUCGAGUUCAAGGCCAACAUUAAAAUGGAGAUUAAAGGAUGUCAAUUUACAGUUCUUGGGGGCAAAAGGGCCUAUGCUACAUAUUCUAGAUGGAAUGAAGAAGUUUCUAGGCUGCAAGAUAAAAGGAUAAAGCUAUGAAACUGAGGAACACAGAUAGGAUCCUCAACAUUGAAGAUUGUUCUGGUUUUUUAAUUUAAUGGAGCCCUUAUACAGACACAUGAUGAUAUUGUCAACGCCAUGAAAGAUAAAGCAGCAUAAGAGCUUCUCGAUGUGAGCUGUUAUCAGUAUGUAUACCAACAGCUUCAGAAGAAUCUUGUUGUUCAGGUUUGUACAUGAAGCUUUCAAAUGAUAUCAAAUUGUUUUACAAUUUAUACUUAUGAAUUAUAAUCUAUGGAAUUAUGGGUGGUGAGAAACACUCUGUUUCUACCUUCUCCUACUCUGUAUUAAACUCUUAUCAGUUAAUAUAUGAUGAGUUUGUUGUUCAAAAAAAAAAAGUCUAUGGAAAAUAUGGGGUUUUUAUGGAAAUAAAUCAAAUAGCUAAUAGUUUUAACUCUCAUCUAAUCGUGAAAGAUAAAAAGAAAGAUUCAUAUUCAUAUGGAUUAUAAUGGUUAUUUUAGUUGGAAAUCUAAAUGUGAAGGUAGAAUUUAAUUCGCUUACUCGUUGACCCAUAAUGUCACGCUUCCUAGACUCAAAAACUACUAUGAAUUGUGCAGCGCAAUGUCGAUCGAGUUGGUGUUUGACCAAUGAGAGUUGUAGCCAAUUAGCCAUUUCAAAUUUCCAAAAUCUCUUUUUUCCCUCCCUCUUCAUUGUUUCCAUCGCCGUGUUCUCAUCCAAAAAGAGAAAACAUCUUUAUUACAAAUUUUAUGUUCACAAAUAUUUUCUCAAACAGUAGUUGUUCCCGGCACAGCAAAACUUGGAAAUACUAAUCCUAGAAUGCCAUUGAUAAAUAACACAAUUAAUGUAAGUAAUGGUUUAUUGUGUACGCAACUAAACAUAGACAUCAUACAAAUUUUAGUUAUACAAGUAAUCGAUGGAAUCGUGGGAUUGGCAUUUCCUUUUUUUUUGCUGUGCCAGGAACAACUACAGUUUUGGAAAACAUUGUGAACAAAAAAAUUAAUUAACAAAAAUGUUUGCUCUGAAUCAUUACCAUGAAGUUUGCAUCUUCUUAAGUUAAAAGUGGAAAAAAGCGUAAGACACCAACGAUAUUUAUAAAUACAAUUUGUAUACUUUCUAGGUGUAAUUGUGUACACAACCUUAUACCAUGAGACACUGAGACAUACAUACAUUAAUCGUGUUCUUUAUUUUUACACGCACACAUGACAUAGUGUUUUUAAGUGUUCUUUACGUUUAGUUCAAGAAAAAGGUGUUCUUUAAUCUUUACGUGUCUAACUUUUUAAUGCGUUUCUGUUAUACACGAAAAUAUCAUGCAUUAAACACACCUUAUGUGUACAUGGUUUUUUGUGUGCGUACAUCAUUUAUGCGUGUGUUUAUAGUUUACCGUUCGGAAAAUAUUCUUAAGAUUUAUUUUAGAAAUGUACUCUUUUUUUUUUGGUAAAAUGCUGAAUAUGUACGAAUGAAAGAAAAGAGAUGAAGAAAUUGAUUAUUCUAUAAAUUAUGAAGAAAUUUAUAGUAGUUAUAAUAUUUUUUGAGUAAAAAUUUGGAAAUAGAAUUUAUAUUUUUAAUAUUAUAAAAUAUAUAAAUGUAUAAUAUUAUUUUAUAACUAAUUUCAAAAUUAAUGAAAAUAUUUACAUAUACUUUUUGAAAAUUAAGAUCUUGUUAAAAUCUUUUAAACAGACUUGUUAGAACUUUUAAAAUAUAUAUUUAUAUUUAAAACAAAAAGAUAUCAAAAAAAAUUGUGAUUAACGUAGUUCAAAAAUUAUAUAUAUUAUUAGUCCUAAUAAAAUAUACUAGAUUUUGAUCCGCGCUUGGAAAGCACGGGGUUUUUGGAUUAUAUUAUAAUACAAAGUCUUAUUAUAUUGAAAAUAUAAUUUUUAACAGUUAUAUAAUCUAUAAAUUAGUUUAUUUGAUAUUUUAUAUGUACACUUUUAUGUAAAUUUCUUUUACGCAUGAGAAUUAUAUCCGGAUCAAAAAAAUAAACCGAACCGAUCCGGAAAUAUAGGUUUAGUUCAGUUCCAGAGAAGAUAACCUAUCUGGGGUUUUUUUGGAUCCGUAUGUCUUUGUUUGAGUCCGGGUCCUACCCUAGACCCGAUCAUAAAUAUGUUGUGUUUAUUAGGUAUAUUUGGAUAUUUCGAAUAUGUUUCCAGCAUUAUGGAUAUUUUUUUUAGAUUUUUGGUUUACGAUUAUAGUUUUUGAUUUCAUGUAAAUUUUCAAAGUAAAAUUUUUUUUGGGUAUUUGGAUAAAAUUUUGGGUAUUUUCAGUUCAAUGACAGAUUUUGAAUAAGAUUUUGAAUUUUUAGGUAUUUGAAUUUUUUUGGCUAUUUGUUUGGAGUUUCAAGUACUUUUCGUGUUUCAGAUAUUUUCAGAUUUUUUAGAUAUUUCAAAUUUUUUUAGGAUCCUAAAUACCCGAACAGAUGUAGACCUAUUACGUCCAUAUCGGGUCCAACAACCUUUUGAUAUAGAUUUUUAAUGUUAUUGUAUAAAAACAUGGUUGAUGAAAUAUUUUUAGAAAACUCAUUUUUAAAUAUGAAAAUAUCUAUCAAACUAUAGACGGUUGAAAGUUUAGUAUAUAAUAUGAGAUUUUAGUAUGAAAUUUUAUAUAUGAUAUGAUUACAUUAUUAUAAAGGAAAGAUGAAGUUAGAAUGUACACAUAUAUGUCGUGUAACUUCUCUUGUUUUAAAUCAUAUAUUAUAUGAUAAAAUUGAUAAUAUAAAACAUUAGUUUCAAUGCUUUUAUGAUUAAAAGUCAAAAUGGUAAAUAUAGUAAUAGUAAUGAUUAAGAUGUAGGAGUAAUAUUUGAAUAAAUAAAAGAAUUGAAUAAAUUAUUGUUAGAGAAAUACAUGGUAACAUAUUGUUAGUCUAAGUUUAAAAUAGGACCAAAAAAUAAUGAGUUAAAUGAAAGGGUCCAAACAACUUUAUAAGUAGAUUUUUUAAGACUCCUUCCCUUUUAAUAGUAUUGAUUUAAUAAAAAAUUAAAGGAUGGUCCAAAAUAUAAAACAAUACAUGAAAGAUUUCAUUAUUUCUAUUUUAAUGGAUAAUAUAGACUAUAAUUAGAAAUUUUAAGAAAAUAGUAUACAUAUUUUUUUUUUAAUAAAAUCUCAACUAAUAUUAAUUUAUAAUAAUAUUAGAGUACUAAUCACAAAAUUAGUCAAUGAUUCAUUUUAUAAUAAUAUUUAAAAUAUCUAAUAAGAUUUUUUAGAUUUUUUUCUCAACAUAUUUUUAUAAUUAAAAAAUAAGACAAUUUUAUAGGUGAGUUAUUAUAUAUGUCAAUUACUUAAGAUGUGAUAUCUUAAUGAUGCAUAAUGUUAAUUAGAAUUAAAUGAAAUAUAAUUUUCUAGGAAAAAUCCAUUUUAAAAAAAUCACACAUUAAGAGAAGUUGUGACUUUUGUUUUAAUAUAAUAGAUAAGAGCUUACUGGCAAAAACUAGUAAUUGUUUAACUGACACCACAACAUAUAAUAUUAGUUUUGUUCUGAAUAUCAGCUAUUCCAACUUUGAGAUUUUUUUUUUUUAGGAAUGAGUAGGUUUGAGCUUUCGGGUUCGGGUUAGGAUCAGGUUUUCGAAUUUAGCCUUAGGUCUCAUUCGAAUUUUCUAUAUUUGUUCGAGUUAUGUUCGGUUAAUAAUAUUUUGAGUUCGAUUCAAACACUAAAAUCAGUAGGUUUGGGUGUUCGGUUUCGGAUUGAAUUUUCAUGUUUAGCCUUCUAAAUCUCAUUCGGGUUUUUAUAUAUGUUCAUGUCAUGUUCGGUUAAUAAUAUUUUGGGUUUGGAUAUAUUUGAUAGCUCUAUUUACUAUCUAUUUUGGAUCUGAAUUUAUUUGGGGUUCAGUUAAUAAUAUUCUGAGUUUGGGUAUUAAAAGAGUUUAUGUAGAUGAUAUGACUAUAUGUGAAUGCGGGGUUGUUUAUCUUUCACCUUAGGAACAAUGAAGCUGAUAUGAUUGAGAAACUUGCGUUGGAUAUCUCUAGUGCAUUAAACGUUACACCUUCAAGGGACUUUGAUGAUCUCGUUGGAAUAGAAGCUCAUAUCAAAAAUCUGAAGCCAUUGUUAUCUCUAGAGUCUAGUGAAGUGAGGAUUGUAGGUGUUUGGGGUCCUGCGGGAAUUGGGAAGACAACCAUUGCAAGAGCUCUAUACACUCGACUGUCUCCUAUUUUCCAGCAUAGUGCAUUCAUGGGGAACAUUAAGGAAACAUAUAGGAGAAUCAGCCUCGAUGAUUACGGUUCGAAGUUGCAUCUGCAAGAAGAGUUUUUGUCUAAGCUUAUCAACCAUAAAGAUGUGAAGAUACCUCACUCAGGUGUGGUAAGAGAAAGGUUGAAGGACAAGAGAGUCUUUGUUGUUCUUGAUGAUGUUGAUGAACUGGAGCAACUCAUUGCCUUGGCAAAGGAGCCUCGAUGGUUUGGUUCUGGAAGUAGGAUUGUAGUGACCACACAAGAUAGACAGCUUCUGAAAGCACAUGGUAUCGACCUUGUAUACAAGGUGGAACUUCCGUCUAGACUCGAAGCUCUUGAGAUCUUCUGUCAAUCUGCUUUUGGACAAAAGCAUCCUCCUUGUGUCGGUAUCAGGGAGCUCGCGCUACAAGUGACUCAUCUUGCUGGAUAUCUUCCUUUGGGUUUAACCGUUUUGGGCUCCUACUUGCGAGGGUUUUCUAAAGAAGAGUGGGAAUAUGCAAUACCAAGACUUAACACAAGUCUUGAUGGUAAAAUUGAGAAGACUUUGAGAUUCAGCUAUGAUGCCUUGCAUAGUAAAGAUAAAUCCAUAUUUCUUCACAUUGCUUGUUUGUUCAAUGGUAAGAACGUCGAGGAUGUGAAGAUGUUGCUUGAGAAUAGUAACUUGGACGUUGACCACGGACUUAAAGCCUUGGCUGAUAAAUCUCUUAUAGAUACUCAUUGGGGACGCAUACAUAUGCACUCUCUGUUACAAAAAAUGGGUAGAGAGAUCGUCUGUCAACAGUCUGUUCACGAGCCUGGAAAACGUCAGUUCUUGGUUGAUGCUGAGGAGAUUAGGGAUGUACUUGCCUGCAAAUCCGUAAGCACUUCUACACUCUUAUCUUUACAUCUAACGAUAUAGUCUCUCACUCUGUGGAGUUUUUUUUUCAGGGUACAGCAACUGUCUUAGGCAUAUCAUUCGAUGCAUCGAAAAUCAAUGGAGAGUUAUCCAUAAGUAAGAAAGCCUUUAAAGGAAUGCAUAAUCUUCAGUUCUUGGAGAUAUACAAGACAUGGAAUGCUAAAUCCAGACUAAAUCUGCCACAGGGUCUAAACUAUUUACCCCACAAACUUAGAUUGCUACACUGGGACUCGUUUCCUAUGAGAUCUUUGCCUUCCAAGUUCUCUGCAGAGUUCCUUGUGGAACUCAGAAUGAUAUUUAGCAAGCUUGAGAAACUCUGGGAAGGAAUCAUAGUAAGUCCUCCAGAAAUAUUUUCUUACACAAGUUCUCAUUAUAUACUGAACUGACAUGUGGCCUUAUCUGUUGCUUGUUAUGGUAUGAGUUCAGCCACUUAGGAGUCUCAAAGUGAUGGAUGUGAGUUACUCCAGAAAGCUCAAAGAGAUUCCUAAUCUCUCAAAUGCCACAAACCUUAAGAAAUUUUCAGCAGAUGGUUGUGAAAGCCUCAGUGCAUUCCCACAUGUCCCUGACUGCAUCGAGGAGCUUGAACUAAGCUACACAGGAAUAACAGAAGUUCCUCCAUGGAUCAAGAAUCUCUGUGGGCUGCAGAGAGUCUGUAUGAGGCAAUGCUCGAAACUAACCAAUAUCUCUAUGAACGUUUCAAAGCUCGAGAACCUUGAAGAAGUGGAUUUCUCAGGCAGUGUGGAUGGUAUACUGUUUACUGCAAUAGUUAGUUGGCUCUCUGGUGUCAAGAAAAGGCUGACGAUAAAGGCUAAUAAUAUUGAAGAAAUGUUACCAAAAUGUCUACCGAGAAAGGCAUAUACUUCUCCAGUUUCACUGGAUUUGAGUGGUAACGAAGAUAUCAAAACUAUUCCAGACUGCAUCAAACAUUUUUCUCAGCUUCACAAGCUUGACAUCAGAGAAUGCAGAAAGCUUACAUCACUUCCACAGCUUCCAGAAUCGCUUUCAGAGCUAAAUGCACAAGAGUGUGAGUCUCUUGAGAGAAUACAUGGUUCGUUUCACAAUCCAGACAUCUGUCUCAAUUUUGCAAACUGCUUGAAACUCAACAGAGAAGCAAGAGAGCUCAUAUGUGCAUCACCUAGCAGAUACACCAUCUUACCUGGUGAAGAACAGCCUGGAAUGUUUAAAGACCAAACUUCAGGAGAUCUGUUAAAGGUUGUGCAUAUGAUUCAGAGACCCUUUCCUCGAUUCCUGAGAUAUAAGGCUUGCAUUAGGCUUCUUGCUCGGUCAGCUGUCUAUGACGAUGACUCUGGUGGUAUUGCUCGUGUAGCUUGUUGCAUCAGGCGCAUAUGCGAUGGCAGUGUUGUGAGAGAUGAAUCGAGAGAAUCACACAUACCUGUACUUGUGAAAGAUCAUCUCUUUACAUUUGGAGGUUCUUUGAUCCUAAAUGAAGGCAAUGAACCUGAAGUAGAUGCAACAUUCAGCGAGCUUAUGUUCGAGUUCAAGGCCAACAUUAAAAUGGAGAUUAAAGGAUGUCAAUUUACAGUUCUUGGGGGCAAAAGGGCCUAUGCUACAUAUUCUAGAUGGAAUGAAGAAGUUUCUAGGCUGCAA